AUUGAACGCUGGCGGCAGGCCUAACACAUGCAAGUCGAACGAGUGGCGGACGGGUGAGUAAUGUCUGGGAAACUGCCUGAUGGAGGGGGAUAACUACUGGAAACGGUAGCUAAUACCGCAUACCAUCGGAUGUGCCCAGAUGGGAUUAGCUAGUAGGUGGGGUAAAGGCGCACCUAGGCGACGAUCCCGAGCUGGGCGGAGAGGAUGCCCCGCCACACUGGAACUGAGACACGGUCCAGACUCCUACGCGAGGCAGCAGUGGGUAAGAUGGCCAAAGGGGGGCAAGCCUGAUGCAGCCAUGCCGGGUGUAUGAAGAAGGCCUUCGGUUUGUAAGGUACUUUCAGCGGGGAGACGUUACCCGCAGAAGAAGCACCGGCUAACGCCGGGCCACCGGCGGCGGUAAUA
rnacentral:rRNA from 1 species